rnacentral:rRNA from 1 species
GAUUAACGCUGGCGGCGUGCAUAACACAUGCAAGUCGAACGAAGUGGCGGACGGGUGAGUAACGCGUGAGUAACCUGCCUUAGAGAUGGGGAUAGCCUCUGGAAACGGAGAAUAAUACCCAAUGCUCUAAGAUGGAUUUGCGUCUGAUUAGCUAGUUGGUGAGAUAAUGGCUCAACAAGGCAACGAUCAGUAGCCGGCGUGAGAGAGUGUACGGCCACAUUGUGACUGAGACAGGGCCCAGACUCUACGGUAGGCAGCAGUGGGGAAUUUUGCACAAUGGGGGAAACCCUGAUGCAGCGACGCCGCGUGAUUUAGAAGUCCUUCGUGUUGUAAAAAUCUUUUGUAUAGGAAGCAGUACUAUACGAAUAAGGACCGGCGAAUUACGUGCCAGCAGCCGCGGUAAGAC